AACGCAAAUUGCACUCUCUGGUAACCCGGGGAGUAUGCCUGUUUGAGGGUCAGUGUUAAUAAAAAUCGGUGCGUUGCAAUUUUUGUGAUGUUCCGGAGUUUGAGUUAUCUUAUCUUUUGGGUUUAAGAGGCUUAAAAUUGACCUUUUUUGUGCAUUUUAGACGUACAUAAAUUUUUUUUUAUUCGUCUAUCUUAAUGCCAAAAUCUAUUAGAUGCGACCAUAUCAUGUGGUUUCGUGUCUAUAAAUUUUUCAUGAUUUGACCUCAAAUCAGGUAGGAACACCCGCUGAACUUAA
rnacentral:misc_RNA from 1 species